rnacentral:rRNA from 1 species
CAAAUGACUCUCGGCAACGAAUAUUUCGGCUCUCGCAUUGAUGAAGAACGUAGCGAAAUACGAUACUUGGUGUAAAUUGUAGAAUCCCGUGAACCAUCGAGUCUUUAAACGCAAGUUGCGCCCGAAGCCAUUAGGCCGAGGGCACGUCUGCCUGGGCAUCAUGC